ACUUAAGCAUAUCAAUAAGCGGAGGAAAAGAAACCAACAGGGAUUGCCCCAGUAACGGCGAGUGAAGCGGCAACAGCUCAAAUUUGAAAUCUGGCCCUCGGGUCCGAGUUGUAAUUUGCAGAGGAUGCUUCGGGCGAGGUGCCUUCCGAGUUCCCUGGAACGGGACGCCAUAGAGGGUGAGAGCCCCGUCUGGUCGGACACCGAGCCCGUGUGAAGCUCCUUCGAAGAGUCGAGUAGUUUGGGAAUGCUGCUCAAAAUGGGAGGUAUAUGUCUUCUAAAGCUAAAUAUUGGCCAGAGACCGAUAGCGCACAAGUAGAGUGAUCGAAAGAUGAAAAGCACUUUGAAAAGAGGGUUAAAAAGUACGUGAAAUUGUUGAAAGGGAAGCGCCCAUGACCAGACUUGGGCCCGGUGAAUCAUCCGGCGUUCUCGCCGGUGCACUUUGCCGGGCACAGGCCAGCAUCAGUCUGGCGCGGGGGAUAAAGGCUUCGGGAAUGUGGCUCCCUCGGGAGUGUUAUAGCCCGUUGCGCAAUACCCUGCGCCGGACUGAGGUACGCGCAUCGCAAGGAUGCUGGCGUAAUGGUCAUCAGCGACCCGUCUUGAAACACGGACCAAGGAGUCGUCUUCGUAUGCGAGUGUUCGGGUGUCAAACCCCUACGCGGAAUGAAAGUGAACGCAGGUGAGAGCUUCGGCGCAUCAUCGACCGAUCCUGAUGUUCUCGGAUGGAUUUGAGUAAGAGCAUACGGGGCCGGACCCGAAAGAAGGUGAACUAUGCCUGUAUAGGGUGAAGCCAGAGGAAACUCUGGUGGAAGCUCGCAGCGGUUCUGACGUGCGAAUCGAUCGUCAAAUAUGGGCAUGGGGGCGAAAGACUAAUCGAACCUUCUAGUAGCUGGUUUCCGCCGAAGUCCCCCUCCAGGGAUA
rnacentral:rRNA from 1 species